rnacentral:rRNA from 1 species
AGAGUUKGAUCCUGGCUCAGAACGAACGUUGGCGGCGUGGAUUAGGCAUGCAAGUCGAGCGGGAUUAGCUUUAUUCAAUUCUUCGGAAGAGAAAAUUGCUAUGAGAGCGGCGAACGGGUGAGUAAUAUAUGGGUAAUUUGCCUCUUUGUUCGGGAUAGCCAUCGGAAACGAUGAUUAAUACCGGAUGUGAUCGGUCACUGCAUAGUGACCUCUUUAAAGGUGGGGAAUCUUCGGAUCCUAUCGCAAAGAGAUAAGCCCAUACCCUAUCAGCUAGUUGGUGAGGUAAUGGCUCACCAAGGCUUACGGGUAGCUGGUCUGAGAGGAUGGUCAGCCACACUGGGACUGAGACACUGCCCAGACUCCUACGGGAGGCUGCAGUCGAGAAUCAUUGACAAUGUACGAAAGUAUGAUCAUGCGACGCCGCGUGGAGGAAGACGGCCUUCGGGUUGUAAACUCCUGUCAGCAGGGAGGAAAGGCAGCACUACUAAUAUCAGUGUUGUUUGACAGUACCUGCAGAGGAAGUCACGGCUAACUCUGUGCCAGCAGCCGCGGUAAUACAGAGGUGGCGAACGUUGUUCGGAUUUACUGGGCGUAAAGGGUCCGCAGGCGGUCCGGUGUGUCGGAUGUGAAAGCCCACGGCUUAACCGUGGAAUUGCAUUCGAAACUACCGGACUAGAGUACUGGAGGGGAGAAGGGAACACUUGGUGUAGCGGUGAAAUGCGUAGAUAUCAAGUGGAACAC